rnacentral:rRNA from 1 species
AACGAACGCUGGCGGCGUGGAUAAGACAUGCAAGUCGAGCGGGUAACUUUUUUGGUAGCAAUAACCGAAAAAGUUCUAGCGGCGAACGGGUGCGUAACACGUGGACAAUCUGACCUUAAAGGUGGGGGAUAGCUCGGACGAAAGCCGAAUUAAUACCGCAUGUGAUGAGAGACGACAUCGUCUUAGAAAUCAAAGGCCGGGCAACCUGGCGUCUUUUUGAGGAGUCCGCCGGCCUAUCAGCUUGUUGGUGAGGUAACGGCUCACCAAGGCUAUGACGGGUAGCUGGUCUGAGAGGACGACCAGUCACAC